UUUGGGUGGAGGGCUGCUUAUCCAGUUUUGGCAAGCUGUUGAGGGCCACAUGGGUAGCCCUGCCCCUUAACAGGCACCCUACCCCCUGGUCACCAAUUUGUGUUUGGAAGUCCU